GUGUGUGUGUGUGAGAGAGAGAGAGAGAGAGAGAGAGAAGAGGUGUCUGGAGGUGUUAUCUUGGUAGUUUUUUUUGUUGUUGUUAUUUUGUUUCAAGGCUUAUCUAGAAGAUGGUUUGCUUAUUUUCACCACCAAGGACAGUAUAUUACUUAGAUGCUUGUCAUCU